UAGUUUCAAAAACCCAAG
rnacentral:snRNA from 1 species